rnacentral:rRNA from 1 species
UACAGAGGUGCCAAGCGUUAGGCGGAAUCACUGGGCUUAAAGCGCGUGUAGGUGGGUCGUUAAGUGUCCGCGUGAAAUCCCACGGCUCAACCGUGGAACUGCCGGGCAUACUGGCGAUCUUGAGGCAUUCAGGGGCGAGCGGAACAAAUGGUGGAGCGGUGAAAUGCGUAGAUAUCAUUUGGAACGCCCAAGGUGAAAACAGGUUACUGGGGAUGUACUGACGCUGAGACACGAAAGCCAGGGGAGCAAACGGG